GAUGAACGCUGGCGGCGUGCCUAAUACAUGCAAGUCGAGCGAACAGACGAGGAGCUUGCUCCUCUGACGUUAGCGGCGGACGGGGGAGUAACACGUGGAUAGCCUACCUAUAAGACUGGGAUAACUUCGGGAAAACGGAGCUAAUACCGGAUAAUAUAUUGAACCGCAUGGUUCAAUAGUUAAAGACGGUUUUGCUGUCACUAAUAGAUGGAUCCGCGCCGCAUUAGCUAGUUGGUAAGGUAACGGCAUACCAAGGCAACGAUGCGUAGCCGACCUGAGAGGGUGAUCGGCCACACUGGAACUGAGACACGGUCCAGACUCCUACGGGAGGCAGCAGUAGGGAAUCUUCCGCAAUGGGCGAAAGCCUGACGGAGCAACGCCGCGUGAGUGAUGAAGGUCUUCGGAUCGUAAAACUCUGUUAUUAGGGAAGAACAAAUGUGUAAGUAACUAUGCACGUCUUGACGGUACCUAAUCAGAAAGCCACGGCUAACUACGUG
rnacentral:rRNA from 1 species